AGUAGCCGCGGUAAUUCCAGCUCCAAUAGCGUAUAUUAAAGUUGUUGCAGUUAAAAGCUCGUAGUUGAAUUUCGGGACCAAUUUGUUGGUCGUGCCUCGGUACGUACUGGUAUUAUUGGUUUCUCCCUUCUGAAGAACCUCGAUGCCAUUAAUUUGGUGUCGUGGGGAAUCAGGACUGUUACUUUGAAAAAAUUAGAGUGUUUAAAGCAAGCAUACGCUUGAAUACAUUAGCAUGGAAUAAUGAAAUAGGACGUUUGAUUCUAUUUUGUUGGUUUCUAGGAUCGACGUAAUGAUUAAUAGGGAUAGUUGGGGGCAUUAGUAUUCAAUUGUCAGAGGUGAAAUUCUUGGAUUUAUUGAAGACUAACUACUGCGAAAGCAUUUGCCAAGGAUGUUUUCAUUAAUCAAGAACGAAAGUUAGGGGAUCGAAGACGAUCAGAUACCGUCGUAGUCUUAACCAUAAACUAUGCCGACUAGGGAUCGGAUGAUGUUAAUUUUUUCAAUGACUCAUUCGGCGCCUUAC
rnacentral:misc_RNA from 1 species